rnacentral:rRNA from 1 species
CUACGGGCUGCAGCAGUGGGGAAUAUUGCACAAUGGGCGCAAGCCUGAUGCAGCCAUGCCGCGUGUAUGAAGAAGGCCUUCGGGUUGCAAAGUACUUUCAGCGGGGAGGAAGGGAGUAAAGUUAAUACCUUUGCUCAUUGACGUUACCCGCAGAAGAAGCACCGGCUAAGUCCGUGCCAGCAGCCGCGGUAAUACGGAGGGUGCAAGCGUUAAUCGGAAUUACUGGGCGUAAAGCGCACGCAGGCGGUUUGUUAAGUCAGAUGUGAAAUCCCCGGGCUCAACCUGGGAACUGCAUCUGAUACUGGCAAGCUUGAGUCUCGUAGAGGGGGGUAGAAUUCCAGGUGUAGCGGUGAAAUGCGUAGAGAUCUGGAGGAAUACCGGUGGCGAAGGCGGCCCCCUGGACGAAGACUGACGCUCAGGUGCGAAAGCGUGGGGAGCAAACAGGAUUAGAUACCCCUGUAGUC